CAGCCGCCACGGUAAUACGUAGGUCCCGAGCGUUGUCCGGAUUUAUUGGGCGUAAAGCGAGCGCAGGCGGUUAGAUAAGUCUGAUGUGAAAGCCCACGGCUCAACCGUGGAGGGUCAUUGGAAACUGUUAAACUUGAGUGCAGGAGAGAAAAGUGGAAUUCCUAGUGUAGCGGUGAAAUGCGUAGAGAUUAGGAGGAACACAGUGGCGAAGGCGGCUUUUUGGCCUGUAACUGACACUGAGGCGCGAAAGCGUGGGGAGCAAACAGAAUUAGAUACCCCUGUAGUCCCUGUCUCUUAUACA
rnacentral:rRNA from 1 species